CCGAGAGGCCGGGCCGGUUCCCGCCGGCGGCGCCCGCGGCCCGAGAAGGCUGCUCGGGGCCGCCCGAGUUCGAGCUCCGACGCUUCCCUGAGGCGUAGCUGUUACGGCCGCGCCGUGCCGCGUGCCCGUCGGACGCGUUCCACCCAGGCCGGGCGGGAGCUGCUUGGCGCCCCCGGCGGCCCGGAACAAAGGGCUACCGGCAAGACUUCACCUCGGCCCGCCUGACGAGCGCAGUCCCAGCGCUGAGGCAGCCCCGUGGCGUCUGCUCGCUCGCGCUCUCUGCUGCAAUGGUUCAUGGUGCCCACGUGGAGACGCCGAACCGGAGACGCGCUGGCUCUGGGUUCAUCCACACUGGUACAGUCCAAGACACCUGCAGCAUGUUUCCAGCCUACUGCCUGGCACAGUCCAAGUUGUAUCAUGUGCAGAAUCUGUCUGGAAAUCGACACAAUUGGGCCAUUGUUCGCAAAGAAGACCCCUCAUUGCUUCUCCGUGUACACAGGCAUGAUUUGCAUCUAGUUGCUCUUCAGACAUCACUUUGUAGCAUUCAUUCAUCACUCCCUGCUUCCUUUUCAUCUUCCAGUUCACUACACACGCCUUCUGGAGCAUUCUCAAAAGCUCAAACCUGCUUGCCCAUGCAUAUCACUGUUAGUUCAUGGCAUGAAAGGCUGGUGCCAGAGGCCCUCAGCCAGUCUUACUGGAGAUGACCUUCCAGCUAGCUUCUGGUCAUGGCUCUCCAGCCAUCCAGAACUCCUCAGGUUCCAGGCUCCUGCCUUCCUCUGGCACAUAUGUCACUUAUUUCUGCAACUUCUGCCUCGUCAAGGACUUUCUGAGACUGCUGUGAAAUUAUGAGCCAAAGCAUAGAGGAGUGCCCGAAAGCUGUGAAAUACUGUGGAAGUGCUUGUUGUUGACUGGCACUGCGGCACCUUGGGUAAUGCUGCUGCCAGCAUCCCAGAAAGGCGCCGGUUCGCGUCCCGGCUGCUCCACUUCUGAUCCAACUCCCUGCUAAUGUGUCUGGGUAAAGCAGAAGAAGAUGG